UGCAACAUCCUGUGCCAGUGCCUGCAGCAACAUCAGCUGUUUGACUCCUUCAAUAGGCACAUCAUUUUGGUGUUCCGUACCUACCACUGCGAACACAGCACAUCACCCGGGACAUCCGCUCUACACGAUCCUGAACAUGGCAGAGACGCCAUUCAUGCCUGACGUUAUGAAGCCUUCCGAUAAUGUCAAUCUGGUAUCGCGGACCUCGAUGCUAAAGAAACCAUGCUGGCAAUACUCACAUCGCUGUGUCUGCUGACUUUUGUAGUCCUUGUGGUCUCCUUCGUGAUUACUUCCAGCAGUCCUGUGAGGGCUGACUCGGACGUCGACUACACGGAGGACCUUGCUCAGCUGAUAGUAGCCCCUGUUGUGGUCAAAGAAGCCGAAGGUACUGUCCCAACGAAGCGCGAAAUAAAAGGUAGUCCAAACGUCACGGCACAUUCGGUGCCUACUACUGCGUCGAUAGUUAAGUGUUCUUGUAGAGGUGGAGCACGUUAAAGUCCAGAUUUUUUUAUGCUUAGGUUGCAUGUUCCUUACUCAUGGUGACGAUGGCAAUGACGAGGACCACUUUACAACGUACCCACUAUAUGAUACGAAAAUGAAGAAUGAGAUUGUUCUAGACCAUACAUUGUCUUUCUGCCGCUGAUGAAAACGAGCGUCAGUGUGCUCUCGCUCACGAAAGGCAACACCGACACAGACAGCAAGCCGCCCCAGAGGCGAAAGCUAAGGAAAUUGCGGAAAAGCACAACGCCGACAACAUCCUGCGAUUCCAAAGUUGAGGGCACGGGAAGUGGAGGCUCAACGGCAAAAAGACAAUGCUUGCACCAUAAACACACAUUGUAACUCAUUUAAAUUUGCGGUAAGAACAACCCGCAGCGAAUUGCCCAUUCCUCCUGAUUCACUCCAGGCAGAUCCAAAGGUCCUGGCGUUGAAUCCCUGCCGCGACGGCUGCAUUCCCGAUGAGGCUAGGAUGU